rnacentral:tRNA from 1 species
GGGCCUUUAGCUCAGUUGGUCAGAGCCACCGGCUCAUAACCGGUUGGUCCGGGGUUCGAGUCCCUGAAGGCCCACCA